UCCAGUAUUGUGGUCCAUCAUACUUCCAUCCUUCCAACACCAAUCCAUGACCCGUUUUAUUGGCUUCCCUUGGUACGUGUUUGAACUGCAAACUUCUAAACUUGGAGGUUCUCCCCUUGAUUUCUUGGAUCAAACUUCAAUGCAUGAUCUAUCUUCAACUGCAGCGAUUAGUUUCCUAAUAACAGUCAACGUAUCUCUCUCAACACAUAUGUCUUGGAAACCCAUUUCUUCUGCCAUAGUAACAGCCUGUAAGCACGCCUCGCCUCGGCCAUUGUUGGAUCUAAAAUAUUCUUUCAUGGUGUAUUAAAGCUAGCUCGGAUCUAAGAAUCGUCAGCGACUUAAUCACGCUAUCGGAUAUCUAUUUUGGUAUUUUAUUUUUGAAGUUGUAUAUAUGGUAUAUGGCAUGUAUAGGCUAGUGUCUUGAUGAUGUAUUUUGUCUUGGGACUCAUGCCAUGUGAUGUGGCUUGAUAAUGAUGGAAAUGAUGAAAUGGUUUUGGUUUAUGUUAUGAGAUGAAAUAAUUUAUAUGUGA